ensembl:piRNA 21ur-1365 ncRNA
UGUGAAGUUGGAAUUUAAUUU